CUGAACAGAAGGUCUGUAACAGGAAGAAAAGGUCCAAUGUCCAGCUGUAACUGCAGCAGAAGUCACUGCAGACCAAAUACUAACAACAGGACUGCAAUUUGCACAGGAAAAUCUGAUUUAAAAUGCUUUCAGCACUUAACCAGCCUUUUAAAGUAGAGAAAUCUUUCAGGGAAGAACCUGCAGGAAAGCAGCAUAUGGAGAACAAUUUGAGGAGUAGAAAUUUAGCCUAAAUAAAGAUACCUUGAAAACAGUCACAGUUCUGGGCCAUCUCACCAGACCAGUGCUUCAGCCCUCAGGUUAAAGGUUGAAAUGACUGAGUCUUAC